AGUUCAACGACAGUGUCUACCUCUCUCUCAACUCUCUCUCUCAUACUUGAACAGAGGUGACAAGAAACGAUCGGCGUCGGUGACAGUGAUGGCCAUCGACGAUCGCCGAUCGGCGACAGUGGCGGCGGCCAGCGAUCAAAGCAUCAAUUUGAAGUUCUAAAACUAGAGAGGUGGUAAGAUUGAUAGUGGGGGUUCUAUACACAGAGAAUGAAGCUUAUAGAGAGAAAAAACACAAAGGUUUGGUUUCUUUUUCUUGUUAUCUGUAAUGGAUUUUGUAAGAGACUUCAUAGAAAAAGUAUUAGAUCAAUUUGUUAUUUCUCUUCUCCUGUUCUCUGGUAUGUCUCAUGUUCUGAUUAAAUAGUAUUACAGUUGAACUGAUUUGAUUUAGGAACUAUUGGUAUGAUUUAAUAAUAUCACACUCUGGUAUGAUAUGAUUUAAUAAACUAGUUUGAUUUAAUAGUA